AAUCAACGCUGGCGGCGUGCCUCAGACAUGCAAGUCGAACGAUUAAACUUUCCUUCGGGAAAGAUAUAGAGUGGCGCACGGGUGAGUAACACGUAAGUAAUCUACCCUCGAGUGGGGAAUAACGUCCGGAAACGGACGCUAAUACCGCAUAAUGCAGCGGCACCGCAAGGUGACAGUUGUUAAAGAUUUAUCGCUUGAGGAGGAGCUUGCGGCAGAUUAGCUAGUUGGUAAGGAAUGGCUUACCAAGGCUACGAUCUGUAACCGGUCUAAGAGGACGGUCGGUCACACUGACACUGAAUAACGGGUCAGACUCCUACGGGAGGCAGCAGUCGGGAAUUUUGGGCAAUGGGCGAAAGCCUGACCCAGCAACGCCGCGUGAAGGAUGAAGUAUUUCGGUAUGUAAACUUCGAAAGAAUGGGAAGAAUAAAUGACGUACCAUUUAUAAGGUCCGGCUAACUACGUGCCAGCCGCCGCGGUAC
rnacentral:rRNA from 1 species